rnacentral:RNase_P_RNA from 1 species
GAGGGAAGUCGUUGACUAUCGGUGCAAUGCAUUGAGGAAAGUCUGUCCACUAUGGUAGCAAUCAAGUGUAAUGCUUGGGUCUUGAAAAAGACGGCAACCACUCAGAAACGAUACGGCUUUACAGCAUAAGGUAAAUUACCCUGUGAAAAUGAUGAUGAUGUAGUACAUUUGAAUACUCUGUAAAGAAACGAUGAAAUGGUGAGACCUUGCUUGUGCAAG